rnacentral:lncRNA from 1 species
CUCAGAUUCUGGUAACAGGACGUGGUAGGACUUGCCAACACUAUGUGAAGGAUCAUGGGGACCGAUCCUACUAUCGCCUCAACAAUACUUGCCAAUAUGUGGGAGUGCCCAACACUAUGCAAAAAAGUGCCCGAAGAAUCAGAAUCAUGCCAGACCUCCUAUCUAGAGCAGAGCUUACAACCUCACUUAACAAGAUACAGAAGCCAACCCAGACGUGAUACAUGCUACGUACACUAUCUAUAAUCAUCUUGCAUAUGUUUUGAUUGAUACUGAUGCCUCACAUUCAUUUGUCUCACAUAUUUUUUCACCAAACUUGAAUGUAUUACUUAAAAAACUUGAUUCUGUGUUAUUUGUGUCUACCUGUGG